AAGUCUUGUAGAUAUGAAAGCUUAGUGCCUUCCUCGAUUAUCCCCCUGAAGUCCAGGCUACUUACUUGGGGUCCAUGGCUCCAUAACUCCAACUAUUCCCCCUGAAUUACUGAGAGUUUCCCACACCUGGGAAGUGGGGGUAACAAUAAAU